rnacentral:tmRNA from 1 species
GGCAGCUUAGUUAAGUUGCCCCGAGCGAUGGCCCCAGUCGGAAGGGCCUACCAAUCGGUCGCCAAAUCCGACUCGUCCUGUUUCAUCGCCUAGUACGGGCAGGACUAAAUUUGUUCCGGGCUGGUGAAGGCAACACCCUGUCGGCCGGGGGUGUCUUCAUGAGAUUUAAGUUGACCGAAUACACACGUAGAAGUUUGUUCUGAAACGUCACGGGACGCGGGUUCGAUUCCCGCCGCCUCCACUU